AGUGAACGCUGGCGGUAGGCCUAACACAUGCAAGUCGAACGGCAGCACAGUAAGAGCUUGCUCUUACGGGUGGCGAGUGGCGGACGGGUGAGGAAUACAUCGGAAUCUACUUUUUCGUGGGGGAUAACGUAGGGAAACUUACGCUAAUACCGCAUACGACCUACGGGUGAAAGCAGGGGAUCUUCGGACCUUGCGCGAUUGAAUGAGCCGAUGUCGGAUUAGCUAGUUGGCGGGGUAAAGGCCCACCAAGGCGACGAUCCGUAGCUGGUCUGAGAGGAUGAUCAGCCACACUGGAACUGAGACACGGUCCAGACUCCUACGGGAGGCAGCAGUGGGGAAUCUUGGCCACUGGGCGCAGGCCUGCUCCAGCCCUCCCGCGUGGGUGAAGAAGGCCUUCGGGUUGUAAAGCCCCUUUGUUGGGAAAGAAAAGCAGCAGGUUAAUACCCCGCUGUUCUGACGGUACCCCAAGAAUAAGCACCGGCUGACUUCGU
rnacentral:rRNA from 1 species